CGGAGGGGACUUAUCUUGAAAACCCGUAUCGGUUUGCGACGACCGUGGGUUCGAAUCCCAUUCUCCCAGCCA
rnacentral:tRNA from 1 species